CUGAGUUAUCCAAAAACUCCCAACCCUAUGUGAACUUACCACUGUUGCCUCGGCGAGCUGCGCUACCCUGUAGCUACUUUUGUAGCGACCUGGGAGCGCGUUAUAGGCUCGCCAGAGGACCACUAAACUCUGUUUUAUUUGUAUCUCUGAAUCUUAUAACUGAAAUCAGUUA
rnacentral:misc_RNA from 1 species